rnacentral:rRNA from 1 species
CGUAGGCGGUUGAGUAAGUCAAAUGUGAAAUCCCCGGGCUUAACCUGGGAACUGCAUUCGAUACUGCUUAACUAGAGUAUGGUAGAGGGAAGUGGAAUUCCGGGUGUAGCGGUGAAAUGCGUAGAUAUCCGGAGGAACACCAGUGGCGAAGGCGACUUCCUGGGCCAAUACUGACGCUGAGGUGCGAAAGCGUGGGGAGCAAACA